UACGAGAGGCCCAAACGUUAUUCGGAUUUACUGGGCUUAAAGAGUUCGUAGGCGGUCCGUCAAGUGGGGUGUGAAAGCCCUCGGCUCAACCGAGGAAUUGCGCUCCAAACUGUCGGGCUCGAGGGAGAUAGAGGUGAGCGGAACUGAUGGUGGAGCGGUGAAAUGCGUUGAUAUCAUCAGGAACACCAGAGGCGAAGGCGGCUCACUGGGUCUCUUCUGACGCUGAGGAACGAAAGCCAGGGGAGCGAACGGG
rnacentral:rRNA from 1 species